CAGUAGCCGCGGUAACACGGAGGGAGCUAGCGUUAUUCGGAAUUACUGGGCGUAAAGCGCACGUAGGCGGCUUUGUAAGUAAGAGGUGAAAGCCCGGAGCUCAACUCCGGAACUGCCUUUUAGACUGCAUCGCUUGAAUCCAGGAGAGGCGAGUGGAAUUCCGAGUGUAGAGGUGAAAUGCGUAGAUAUCGGAAGGAACACCUGAGGCGAAAGCGGCUCACUGGACCAUAACUGACGCUGAGGCGCGAAAGCUAGGGGAGCAAACAGGAUUAGAUACCCGAGUAGUCCCUGUCUCUUAUAC
rnacentral:rRNA from 1 species